AACAAUUCAAAGACUCUCUUUGAAAGAAAACAAACUUUUAUUAAAUCAAUGAUAAUGGGUGCCAUACAAUGAAUUCAAGACUGAGCUUUUAUAGGCUCAUAAACAACAGUCUAAAGAAGCUAAUUGAGGGAAAUAAUCGAAAAAUAUAAAGAAUAUGGCCGUUGGAGCUUUGAUGACGAAAUCGGCCAAAUAAGGAAAUGUCUUGAGCUUUGUAUCUAGAGAGCUUGGGAAGAAAGGUGAGACUUCUUGGAACAUUCUGGGACGUGUGGAGAGUCUUCAAAACGCAGCAUCUUUGGUAGAUAAAGAGCCGUUGGUGGUUUAAAGCUCCUAGUGUGAAUGCGUCCAGAAAAGGAAAGUAGAAUUGUGAAAGGAUCCGCCUGAUCCUAUGGGUUCUGGUGCAUGGGAAGAAUUCUUCUAGAUGUCUAAGAGUCUCUCCUGGUCGCCAAUGAUAGUUUUGGAGUGAACCAAAUAUGGAAUGAUCCAUUUUUGGCAACAUAUGGCCCGCGGGUAAGGCCAAAUGAGUAACUCAUAAAACAACUCGAACCCGGGGUGAUUUAGCUCGCCCAUUCUUCAUAAAAUGUGCAUAAUAAUGGUGAAUGUCAAAUCUAGGUCGAGGAAAUGUGACGUUGGGUCGAUGAUAUUGUAGUUGGCUUGAUCCGGGUGGGUCUUCUUGGCGCUCGAGUUGAUUGGUUCGAUAGUUUUUGAUUCCGUCUCGCCCAAAUGUCUUGAAAUAUGUAACUUGAUGGUGAAUAUUCAAUAUGGGUCGGGAAAAGUCUUGAUCCGGUCGGUGGAUUUGAGUUUUGUGUGCUCCGGGUGAGUCAUUGUGGACCAACUUCAUUUCGGCAUGGUGAUUUAUGAUUCCAGCUGAAUCACUACUCUUCUUAGGAUAUAUUUCUUUGUAAAUUUCCAAUCCUAGGCCAGGUGCUUGAUCAGAACUUGAUUUGCGCCAAAAUUCUCCUUUUUGGUCCGGUUUGGUUUGGUUGAGGAUUGAACCGGCUGGUCUAUUUAACUCCGGAUCUGGUUUGGUUCCGAUGUCCACAUCAUACCCUCCCUCUUCAAAAAGUUUUGACCUCAAAACUGUUUCACCUGCACCAAGAGAAAACAAGUUAGGUUUCAUUCGCUUUUGUGAGUUUAGAUAGUUACCUCGGCUUUGAUUCGUUGGACAAUGUUGGGAUGAGUCGGGUGGUUUAUCCUUGUUUAUAAUGUGACAUUUAAAAACAUUUUCUUGAUGCUGGGACAAAUUUGUAUCCUUCUUCGUGAAAUCUCCUAUUCCACUCUUUAUUUCUCCAUGAAGUUCUCCUUGAAUCUUGAUAUGUUGAGGUGAAUCCGGUGGCUCCUCUUUGACCAGUACAGUGUCAAUGACACGUCUAGCAUAUCCUUUUGUUGGCGUGAGCAAAACUGACUCCAUAAUGCCUUGGUUAUGUUGUUCACUUGAGACUACGAUUUCUUUUGAUGGUACAUCUCCUUGGUAAUAGCAUUUCACCAUUGUACCUGCACCUCUAUAGACACUAAAAGGCAAGAACAAGUGCAUUAUACUUGAAAUUGAAAUUUUAAAAACAUAGAAUUGGAGACUACGAAUUAAUAUGAAAUGAUUCCCGUAUUUAUCAAAGUCUUGAAUCACACUUACUUGGAAGAUAUGGCAAUGAUUAUGCACGAAUUUCAUCUUAAUAAAAGCCUCUUUUUGGUUGAUAAAGCUCUGUUCUAGACCGUGGGGUGGUGGUUGUUCCUCUAGGAUAGCUUGGUUACCUUCGGCUUCUCGAAAACUUUGUUGUGACAAUGCUCUCGAGUGGUUCUCUUCCUUACCUAUACCUUUGUCAACUUCUUUUUGACAAAACAAGUGUAUUAUCAUAGAAUUUAAAGGUUUAAAAUCAGAAAGAUUCGGGUGAAGACUUACCUUCGGGAUAAUUUCAUGUUUUGUUUCCUUAGACAACAUGGUGUGUCGAUCUUGCUUUUGAUCCGUGGUAAAGACUUCUAUUUCUGGUUCUUUUCUUUCAACCAUGUAUUCCUCCUUAGUUUCUGGACCUGUUUCAAUUCCCUUGGACAAAGACAAGUGCAUGAUACUAGUAUUUAAAAUUUUUAAAUCUGUUUCAACUAGUUUUUCUUUUACCUUGGGAUUUUCUGUUUUUGGCUCCAUGAGGGUUACUACUCGUCUAGUUGGGCACUCCUUUGCUUUGUGUCCUCUGUUUUGACAUCGAUAACAAGUCACUUCAAAUAAAUUCAAAGUACUAGAAGACUUACCUUGAUUCGUUUUGCCUUGUGGUUCACAUAAAGACGUGAUGAUUGAGUUUUGUUGAAUCUCCUUCACUUGUACAGGUUUCUUAGCCUCUGAUUUCUUUGAUAAAGUGUUUGGGAACACUUUUAUUGGCUCAGGGAGAGGGAAAGCAUUCUUGUUCACCACUUUGGAGCUCGACUUUUGUUGAUUCUGCCUCUUUGAAUUCGUUGGUGUUACACCUUUGUCAUUGUGGUGAGCUUGGGCAGAAGCGUUCUUCACAAAUUCACCAUACAUGAGCUUUCUCAUCUCCUUCCAAGAGUAAGCUAGAUCCUUGAAGUGAAUACGUGUAGUCUCUAUCUCAUCCCACCAAUCAUAAGCUCCUCCGGUUAAAGCAUCUUCCGCAUAGGAUGUUUUCUUUUUCUCCGGGACGUGGUACCUUUCAAACCAGUCCAUUAAGGCUGCUUCCCACCGUAGGUAUGCUUCUGGUCCCUCCUUAUGACCUGAAAAAGUUAAAGGGUCUGAGCUAAUUUUCCCUCUCUUGCUAAGGUAGUUGUCUCUCGUCUUUGGUCGAGGUGAAAUUGAUGGAACUCGGUGUGACAAAAUUGUUUGGAGAGACUUCUCUUCACGAUGUGGGGAAUGGUAGUGUUGAUCCUCAUGGUAAUAUCCCUCACAGUCCUCAUAAUACCCUAAACUUGGUUGGCUCCAUUUGGUCGUUGCUUGAGGCAUGUAAGUGUAAGGCUCGACACGUUGACUAGAUGGAUAACAAUCAGGUGGCUCCGGCUCCAGUUCUUCACCAUCAGGUUCUUCUCCACAAUCAGAACUGGAAACACAUUCCUCAUACCACGUUUGUCUCCCAUAGUCAUUCUCCUCUUCUAUCAUGUCUUCGUACUCAUCCUCGUCUUGGUUCCAAUCACCUUCAUAGGAGUCAAUCUCUUCUUUCUCCAUAUAAUAGGACGCCAUUGCUCUGGUCCUUCUUAUUCGUUUGUCCUAAAACAAAGAAGAAGAAAGUGUAUCAACCUUUAGAUCAACAAAUAUGGCAAGAAAGAGUCAAGACACAAAAAUUAUGGAAAUUUGAUAUUUCUUUUUACUUUUAAAAAUAAAAUCGAAAAAUUCAAACAACAAAAGGAAAAAAAAUGAUUUAUAUUUUCUUUUUUUUUUUGAUUUAAUAAAAUAAAUUACGAAAAUUAAUUUAAAAUAAACAAGAAAGACAAUUUUUAUUGGAUUUUUCUUUUAAACCGAAAUUAAAAAUAAAUAAAAAAAAGAACACAAAUAAUAUUUUUUUUUUUUUGUUUUUAAAAUGAUACUGAAACAAAUUCAAAACACAAAAACAAAAGGAAGAAACAAAUUUUUAUUUUGGUUUUUGACUUAAUAAAAAUUAAAACAACAAAAACUGAAAAAUCGAAAAGAUAAAGGUUGGAUGAACACAACCUGGAUUUGAUAGGAGCUUUGAGCUCUGAUACCAGAUGAUAUAAGAUUGGAAUCCACCAAAUCUUAUUGAUCACAAGAUGUCAAGAGUUGAAAAGCUUUCACGCGGAAAUGGGCGUUGGUAGAGAUGGAGAUGGAGUUUGCGAUUGAUUCCACAAUCACACACGAACAAGAAGACUUGAUUCCACAAGUAAUCUGAUCCGUAAUCAAUAGAAAAGAAGUGAUUCCACACUUAGAUUCUAAAGAAAAGAACAAGAACAAUUCAAAGACUCUCUUUGAAAGAAAACAAACUUUUAUUAAAUCAAUGAUAAUGGGUGCCAUACAAUGAAUUCAAGACUGAGCUUUUAUAGGCUCAUAAACAACAGUCUAAAGAAGCUAAUUGAGGGAAAUAAUCGAAAAAUAUAAAGAAUAUGGCCGUUGGAGCUUUGAUGACGAAAUCGGCCAAAUAAGGAAAUGUCUUGAGCUUUGUAUCUAGAGAGCUUGGGAAGAAAGGUGAGACUUCUUGGAACAUUCUGGGACAUGUGGAGAGUCUUCAAAACGCAGCAUCUUUGGUAGAUAAAGAGCCGUUGGUGGUUUAAAGCUCCUAGUGUGAAUGCGUCCAGAAAAGGAAAGUAGAAUUGUGAAAGGAUCCGCCUGAUCCUAUGGGUUCUGGUGCAUGGGAAGAAUUCUUCUAGAUGUCUAAGAGUCUCUCCUGGUCGCCAAUGAUAGUUUUGGAGUGAACCAAAUAUGGAAUGAUCCAUUUUUGGCAACAUAUGGCCCGCGGGUAAGGCCAAAUGAGUAACUCCUAAAACAACUCGAACCCGGGGUGAUUUAGCUCGCCCAUUCUUCAUAAAAUGUGCAUAAUAAUGGUGAAUGUCAAAUCUAGGUCGAGGAAAUGUGACGUUGGGUCGAUGAUAUUGUAGUUGGCUUGAUCCGGGUGGGUCUUCUUGGCGCUCGAGUUGAUUGGUUCGAUAGUUUUUGAUUCCGUCUCGCCCAAAUGUCUUGAAAUAUGUAACUUGAUGGUGAAUAUUCAAUAUGGGUCGGGAAAAGUCUUGAUCCGGUCGGUGGAUUUGAGUUUUGUGUGCUCCGGGUGAGUCAUUGUGGACCAACUUCAAUUCGGCAUGGUGAUUUAUGAUUCCAGCUGAAUCACUACUCUUCUUAGGAUAUAUUUCUUUGUAAAUUUCCAAUCCUAGGCCAGGUGCUUGAUCAGAACUUGAUUUGCGCCAAAAUUCUCCUUUUUGGUCCGGUUUGGUUUGGUUGAGGAUUGAACCGGCUGGUCUAUUUAACUCCGGAUCUGGUUUGGUUCCGAUGUCCACAUCA
rnacentral:lncRNA from 1 species